CAGCAGCCACGGUAAUACGAAGGGUGCAAGCGUUAAUCGGAAUUACUGGGCGUAAAGCGUGCGUAGGCGGUGAGUUAAGUCUGCUGUGAAAUCCCCGGGCUCAACCUGGGAAUGGCAGUGGAUACUGGCUCGCUAGAGUGUGUCGGAGGAUGGUGGAAUUCCCGGUGUAGCGGUGAAAUGCGUAGAGAUCGGGAGGAACAUCAGUGGCGAAGGCGGCCAUCUGGGACAACACUGACGCUGAGGCACGAAAGCGUGGGGAGCAAACAGGAUUAGAUACCCCAGUAGUCCCUGUCUCUUAUAC
rnacentral:rRNA from 1 species